GAUGAACGCUAGCGGGAGGCUUAAUACAUGCAAGUCGAGGGGUAGUCAUACUUCGGUGUGAUUAGACCGGCGCACGGGUGCGUAACGCGUAUGCAACCUGCCUCAAACCGGGGGAUAGCCCGGAGAAAUCCGGAUUAAUACCGCAUAAUAUUAUUGUCUCGCAUGGGAUGAUACUUAAAGAUUUAUUGGUUUGAGAUGGGCAUGCGUCUGAUUAGCUAGUUGGUAGGGUAAUGGCCUACCAAGGCAACGAUCAGUAGCGGGUCUGAGAGGAUGAUCCGCCACACUGGUACUGAGACACGGACCAGACUCCUACGGGAGGCAGCAGUAGGGAAUAUUGGACAAUGGGCGAGAGCCUGAU
rnacentral:rRNA from 1 species